rnacentral:tRNA from 6 species
GGCGGAUGUAGCCAAGUGGCUCAAGGCAG